rnacentral:rRNA from 1 species
UACGUAGGGCGCGAGCGUUGUCCGGAAUCAUUGGGCGUAAAGAGCUCGUAGGCGGCCGGUUGCGUCUGCUGUGAAAUCCCGGGGCUUAACCCCGGGCGUGCAGUGGAUACGGGCUGGCUGGAGGCAGGCAGGGGAGAAUGGAAUUCCCGGUGUAGCGGUGAAAUGCGCAGAUAUCGGGAGGAACACCGGUGGCGAAGGCGGCAUCCUGGACCAAUAUUGACGCUGAGGAGCGAAAGCCAGGGGAGCAAACGGG